GACGUAGGUGGCGAACGUUAUCCGGAAUUAUUGGGCGUAAAGGAUGCGUAGGUGGUGUAGUAAGUUAUCGGUGGAAAAUCGAGGCUCAACCUCGUGGAAGUCGGUAAUACUGCUAUACUAGAGGAUAGGAGAGGUUAACGGAACUCCCUGUGGAGCGGUGAAAUGCGUAGAUAUAGGGAAGAACACCAAUCAGGCGAAGGCAGUUAACUAUUCUAUUCCUGACAUUGAGGCAUGAAAGCGUGGGGAGCAAAACGG
rnacentral:rRNA from 1 species